AUUGAACGCUGGCGGCAGGCCUAACACAUGCAAGUCGAGCGGAUGAAGGGUGCUUGCUCCUGGAUUCAGCGUCGGACGGGUGAGUAUUGCCUAGGAAUCUGCCUGGUAGUGCUGGAUAACGUCCUGAAACAGCCGCUACUACCGCCUACUUCCUGCGGGUGCAAGUGGGGGAUCUUCGGACCUCACGCUCUCAGAUGAGCCUAGGUCGGAUUUGCUAGUUGGUGGGUUAAAGGCCUACCAAGGCGACGAUCCGUAACUGGUCUGAGAGGAUGAUAAGUCACACUGGAACUGGGACACGGUCAAGACGACUAAGGGAGGCAGCAGUGGGGAAUGUUGGACAAUGGGCGAAAGUAUGAUACAGUGAGGCGGAGUGUGUGAAAGAGGUGUUGGGAGUGUAAAGAACGUUAAGUGGGGGGGAAGGGCAGUAAGUUAAGACGUAGCUGUAUUGACGGUAAUAAGAGAAGAAGCACCGGCUAACUACGUG
rnacentral:rRNA from 1 species